AUGAAUUGCAUAAGCUGGAACUGUCGAGGGCUUGGGAACCCUGAGACAGUUCGUGAGCUUCGCAAAAUUGUGAAGCAAGAAGGUCCCGCCCUUCUCUUUGUUAUGGAAACAAAGAUCAAGGGUAAACGGGUUGAGAACCUGAAAUCCGUUCUAGGUUUUCAAGGUUGUUUUGCGGUGGAUAGCACUGGUUUAAGUGGUGGCAUUGGCUUGUUUUGGACUGAUGAAGUGCAUGUUGAACUCAAAAACUACAGCCGAGCGCACAUAGAUGUAAAAGUCAGGAGGAAAGAUGACCAAAAGUCUUGGUGUUUUACAGGUUUUUACGGAGAACCCCGGACAGAGAACAGACACCAUAGUUGGGCGUUCUUGCGUACUUUGCAUGGCAUUCAGCAUGAUGGAUGGAUUUGCAUGGGCGACUUCAAUGAAACAAUGUAUGUUGAAGAGCACUUCAGUGUGCACGAGCAACCAGCAUGGCAGAUGCAGGCCUUCCGUGAUGUUGUAGAUGCAUGUUCCUUCCAAGAUGUAGGUUGGAGAGGAGUUCCCUUUACAUGGGAUAAUAAACAGCAGGGCAAUUCGAAUGUAAAAGCUCGACUAGAUCGAGCACUAGCCAAUAAUGCAUUUUUACAUCUUUUUUAG
rnacentral:rRNA from 1 species